rnacentral:rRNA from 1 species
UCCAACUUGAGAGUUUGAUCCUGGCUCAGAGCGAACGCUGGCGGCAGGCUUAACACAUGCAAGUCGAGCGGGCGUAGCAAUACGUCAGCGGCAGACGGGUGAGUAACGCGUGGGAACGUACCUUUUGGUUCGGAACAACACAGGGAAACUUGUGCUAAUACCGGAUAAGCCCUUACGGGGAAAGAUUUAUCGCCGAAAGAUCGGCCCGCGUCUGAUUAGCUAGUUGGUGAGG